GGCCCAGAUCGUUUACCGUGAAAAAAUUAGAGUGUUCAAAGCAGGCAGACAUUAAUCUCUGCCACCGAAUACAUUAGCAUGGGAUAAUGGAAUAGGACCCUGUCCUCCUAUUUUCAGUUGGUUUUCGAGGACCAGGGUAAUGAUUAAUAGGGAUAGUUGGGGGCAUUAAUAUUUAAUUGUCAGAGGUGAAAUUCUUGGAUUUAUGAAAGAUUAACUUCUGCGAAAGCAUCUGCCAAGGAUGUUUUCAUUAAUCAAGAACGAAAGUUAGGGGAUCGAAGACGAUCAGAUACCGUCGUAGUCUUAACCAUAAACGAUGCCGACCAGCGAUUAGGAGACGUUGAAUACAAAACACCACCAUCAGGCGGGUCGUUCCUGGCUAGUCUCGCGCAAGCGGGGCUGGUGGGGGCGAUUCGUUUUCCUGAUGGCCCGGUGAAUGACUCCCCUAGCAGCUUGUGAGAA
rnacentral:rRNA from 1 species